GUUAUUGAGAGAGAAUUGCUUUAUCGUAUUUGUUAUAUAUUGUGUGAUUAAUGAAAGUUUAUUUAUUUGAGUGCAAAAAUUGAUAUUUAUCACAACUUCUACCCAUCAGGAGGAAUGGGGGGAUUUAUCAAAAAUAUUCUCUGACUAUGUUCACCCAGUACAUCCAUCAAUCCCUCCAUUGGAUUUUACCUAGAUGUAUCUGGAAUGAGGUAUGUUACAUGAACCGUAGUUCACCUCCAAAAGUUUUUGUGCAGCUUGGGUUGUAUGAUCACAAUAACGGUUCACUAUGGAAAAUAUGAGGGAGCUUUGUCUUGAUUACGGGGUGGCUAAUGAAAGGACUGGGAAGCUUUAUGUAUGUAACUAACUAAGCUUUUUUAGUCCUUCAGUUUUGAGUUCCAAGAAGCAUUUUGGGACAUCAUAUGCUAUGAUAAAUUCGAUUUUCUAUAUAUUCACAAACUGGUUUCUACGUGUAAUACAUUUUCUAUAGAUUAGGUGUGGUCGAUAACUUAAUUUAAAUCUUGAUGUAGACACACAAAACACAAAACUUAUAAUUUUUUUGCUGCUGUAUCCUUUACUGCAGGUAGUGAAGGAAUAUCAACGGUGAAGCAGUAAUGUUGGAGGAAUCCUUAUGACAUUCCUGAGAAGAGCUUGCCAUUAACAAAUCCCGUGGUAGAUGAAAAGACAGUUUAGUAGAUUUUGCAUGACUAUACGAACUUGUGCACUACUAGCCUGUUUUUAAAGGAAUUUGAAUUUCAUAAAGUAGAACAGAAAAUAUAGGCUUUUUGUAAUGGAU
rnacentral:lncRNA from 1 species